UGGGGAAUAUUGCACAAUGGGGGAAACCCUGAUGCAGCGACGCCGCGUGAACGAAGAAGGUAUUCGUAUCGUAAAGUUCUGUCCUAUGGGAAGAUAAUGACAGUACCAUAGAAGAAAGCUCCGGCUAAAUACGUGCCAGCAGCCGCGGUAAUACGUAUGGAGCGAGCGUUGUCCGGAAUUAUUGGGCGUAAAGGGUACGCAGGUGGUUUAAUAAGUCGAAUGUUAAAGAUCGGGGCUCAACCCCGCAAAGCAUUGGAAACUGAUAAACUUGAGUAGUGGAGAGGAAAGUGGAAUUCCUAGUGUAGUGGUGAAAUACGUAGAUAUUAGGAGGAAUACCAGUAGCGAAGGCGACUUUCUGGACACAAACUGACGCUGAGGUACGAAAGCGUGGGGAGCAAACAGG
rnacentral:rRNA from 1 species